GUCCGCAUUCUAGCAACGCCUUCAGUCUAAUACCGGUCUUUCGUUCUAAUACCUCGUUCGUGUCUAUAAAGUAAACCCCUCAUAAAGCAUCGAGCCGCUGCGAGAGGCGUGAAGCAUCUCCGGGUACUGCGGUUUCCGCGGUGAAUGAGAGCGGUCGAGGAUCUUUAAAGUUUUACUCGUCGAGGGAAGACCGGUACGCCACCGGUAAUCCGUUUCAGUCAUUUUGUAUGCACUUGGGUGUCUCUCGGCCGAUAGUGCUUUGAAACUGUGAAUCGCCGGGAAGAAUCCAAAAGAAAAAAAAUUAGGAUGCAGACUCGGGAAGAAAAUAGCAAAAAGUUUGCACAAGGCAAAAACAGAUUGUGAAGUGAUUAUUUAAACGAUUAGUGGCCAAUGCAUUAGACGGUAUUUAAAGUAGGCACGAAGCCAAUACAAAUGUAUUUGCGAGAUAAAGUGGAACGUAAAUAAAAGGAAGAAUAACGAUAUAAGCGGAAGAGUUGAAAAAGAGUGUAUAUAAUAUAUUUAUAUGGGAUUUUAACUAGCGAACAAGAACUUGUUCCUGACGGGAAAGGUUUUUUUAAAUUCGGGUCUCGCCUCUGAUAGAGGAUUCUCGAGUGGCCAUUUCUCACGAGCGAAUAGAGUCGCUUAAUUCUCGAAACGAGAGAACAGGGAUCCGGACCGCUGCUUUUUAUGAUUCAGUACCGUGGAACACGGACUUGCGCGCUUCUAGCCGGACUGAGAAGUCGACGAAAUGUACAAAAUUACCACGCGGAUUUAACGAAAUUUUCCUCGGCAAAAUAUUUGCACGCGGCUCCUUGAUAUUCUGGUCAAUGCGCCCAGUAAAUUCACGUCGCGGACCCGUUUUCUCUCAAUCCCGAGAGUUCGCGAGAGGAGGUCGCGUGUUCGACGAGAACGGCGGAUACAAAAUGCCGAAACACUAGCUUCUGUAAUAUUCAACAGGAUCGGUCGAAGGAAACGCGACGACGCAACCUUGGAAGUAACGAGGCAGACUUCUAGUCGUCGCUACACUUGUAGCGCAUACGGAAAUUGAGAGAAAUUGCGUAUUCCGGGGGGAGAAUCCUCCUUCUUGUACAAGUAAAAAUAUGCAACGAGAUUUAAUCAAAAUAUAAUUAACUAAGAAUAUUAAGAAAACUGACGUACCGAAUAAGGACGUAAUAAUAAUCGCGAGAGGUAAAUUAAGAUAAAAUUCUUUACAUAAGAUAAAUUUUUCCUUCAAGACGUAUAAAUACAAGAGGACGGAUUAAAGGAGGUAAUAAGUAACAGGAAGCAACUGCGCUUUAAAUAAAAACGAAAUAAACUGGGGGGAGAAAGGAAAGUCACUGAGCGGUGCAAUCGUAACAACUAAGAGUAUACUAAUCCGCGAUAUAAAAACGGACGGACCGUAUUUCAGUCGUCUAAAAGCGAUUCACUCGCACAUACACAGAGGACCUCGUUAACGAAGCUCGGAGUCGAGACGGGAGGAGGAGGCGGCAUAGCACAAAGGGGUUUCCUCGGGGUGGCACGCGAGUCCUUCCGCGCCCAGGAAUGCAGGAACACGAUGAAUUUUACAGAACUCUCUGCUCGUCGGAGACCCUGCGCUCCGGCAAGAAGGGCUUCUUCCACGAUUUCAGCGAGUCCGUGAUGCGGAUCGCGGGCGAUACCUGGACGUCUAGGAUAUUCGGCCGAAUCGAUGACGACGCGGACCGGGUGAGGGCGAUCUUCGCCGAUGCGAAAAUACGGGAUGUCGUGGUCGACACGCUCGCAAAGGUGAAGCCCCUUUUCAGGGACAAGGAUGCCGACAUUUCUAAACGCAGACGACUCGAGGGAUACCAGCUCGCUGCCGUUGGCCAAUACGACAAGGCUCUUUUGCUGUUCAGUCAGGCUGUCCUGCGUGCUCCUCAACUAGAUAAGAACAAGACGGUCGAUCAGGGUAUGUCAUUGCCCUUGGCGCUGUUGGGAAGAGCCGAGAUCUUUAUGACCCUCAAAGAAUAUCAUUUCGCGUUGGAAGAUCUACGACUGGCCGCCGAACACGACUUGCCGGAUAAAUCGAUGCAGGAGCUUCGACGAAAGAGGGAAGAAUGCGAACGUUUCUUAAAAGUCAACGAGAAGUCUCUGGUGCUCGUCGAUCCCGUCAAUAACAUUGACAAGGUGACUCGAUUAAUCUUGAAUGAACAGAAAGACGAUGGCAGGCCGUUAAAUGGCGCCGUUAAUUCCGAGGCCCGCUGGUCGUCCAGCGCCCUGGAGAUUCGUGAGACCCCGGUAGCGGGUAAACACGCCGUCGCAGCCACGGAGAUACAUCCGGGCGAUACUCUGAUAGUCGAGCCACCGCUAGCGGGCUGUCUCCUACCCGAGUUCUACGGCACCCAUUGUCAGCAUUGUUACGCGAGACUGAAAGCGCCGAUCGGAUGCUCGAAUUGCAGCUGUGUCGCUUUCUGCGGGAGGAAAUGCAGGGACAUUGCGAUGGCGACGUAUCACAAGUACGAGUGUAAAAUACUUGCAUUAUUGAUAGGCUCUGGCAUGAGUGUACUCAGCAUGGUCGCUUUUCGAAUGGUGACGCAGGAGGGCCUGCGAAAGUGUUUGAAGAUCUACGAAGAGUUGAAGAACAGUGGCAGCGAAAAAGCCGCGACGUCUACAACGACAAUGCCGACAACAACGAUGACAACAACAACGAUGACGACGACGAUGAUAUCAGAUACGCAUGAUGCAAAAUCGCCAGCAAACAGUCGGUCGGCCAAAAGAAGAAUCAGACGGAAGAAGCUGCAGGAAUCUAGACGAAGUGAGGGCAAAAUCGAGAAGAAAGACGGGGAGAACACAAAGGAGUCCCAUAAGAGCGACAACGACAAUGUCGACAUGACGGCUUACAAUCUGGUGACGCACGCGAAUAAGAGGACGAAGAAGGACUUCUUAGAGAGAUCGCUGAUGGCGGCCUUCCUGCUCAGAUGCCUACAGAGAGUCGGUUUCUUCGCACAUCCCACAUCGGACGACGAGGUCCCGGGCGCCGAGGAGAUCAUCGUGGCCGCCCUGCUGCUGAGGAACUUGCAGCUGCUCCAAUUCAACGCCCACGAGUUCUUCGAGACGCGGUUAAGCGCGGGGCAUCGAUUUCGCGGCAGCCGCCCCGUCUACCUCGGGGUGGCGAUUUAUCCCACGGUCGCUCGCUUCAAUCAUGAUUGCUAUCCCGCGGUGACGAGAUACUUCGUCGGCCGACAUAUCGUAAUAAGAGCAAUUCGCGGUUUACGGCCCGGCGACGUUAUUGCUGAAAACUACGGACCGAUAUUCACGAAGAGAACUCUUGCCGAGCGUCAAAGGACACUAGCAGGAAGGUAUUGGUUCCGAUGCUCAUGCAGGGCCUGCCAAGAGGACUGGCCGCGCUUUGAGACUCUGACGAACGAUUCCGUCAGGUUGAGAUGCCCUACAACAGGAUGCAACGGACUACAUUCACGACCGCAGCAACGGCCAGAUAAGCCGAUAAAAUGUUCGGCUUGUCAAAAGAAAGUCUGCUUGGAAGAUCAGCUCGCGUGCUUGCAAGAGUGCGAGACGUUCUACACUCGCGGAUUGGCCAGUAUGGAGGAUGAAAGGGUCGAUGAGGCGAUUGGGACGCUGUGCGACGCCUUGAAGAGAUUCCACCGAGUCGCCUGUCCACCGCAUCGAGACACCCACCUGGCCGAAAUUGCUUUAAGCUCCUGUCUGAUUGACUACGGGAAUACUUGGAGACCAGCUGCGCUUUGAACGCCUGGAGAAGAAAAAGGAAGCUGACUGCCGUAAUCUCGAUGAAUCCGUGCCAGAUGACCGCGGCAGCGAACAUGUCUUUCGAAUAAAAGACGAGGGUGUUUGUGAUCCUUUAAGUCCAUAGAUACCUUGUAGUCGGGCUAAUUUACUCAAUGUACAUUGAUAUUUUAAGACAUAUGAUUACAACCAUUGUGAUCAAAUUUGAGAAACGCAAGAGAAACGUUAUCCUUAUUACCUUUAUAAAAUGGAGAUCGGUCCUAAGUAACUCAAUAAAACUCUCUGCGGGAAAAUAGAACAAAAAGAUGUUGCCCGCAGCGUCCUAUAAUUUGCACGUACAUACAUCGUUCUAUCUUUGGCCGACUAAUAUCAUGAUAUACACAAGAAAUAAAUGAUGAUAAAUAAUAUUGCGAGCGCGAAUCUGCUGUGCGCAAGUUAGGUAUCGAUAUCGGGAAAUUAGAGGCCGAGGCGUUUACUGAGGCGUCGACCUGAAAGUCAACUUUUUUAAUUUCGCCUGCACACAGAGCACAGGCAAUCAAUCGGUUCAUCCGAGAUCUCUCUUGAUUGCUUUCACUGUGUAUGUAUGUAUAUGUGCACGAUGUAUCGUAUCUCUGUCUGUGAAAACAUACGAUCGAGAGAUUCUUUAUAAGUCGAACACGAUUUUCUCCUACGUCUCAUCCUCGUUCUCAUCCUCGUUUACGAAAAGCAUGGAAUUUUGCCAAUCUUAAUGUCUGUUUAGGUAUCUUGUCACGCCAUUUAAACAAUUGUAUAAAAUGAUACAAUAAAUUAAAUAAGAGA